rnacentral:ncRNA from 1 species
UCCACCCGGGGAGCUUCGGCAAGAAGCUGAGAUUCCGAUGGCGGCCGCGCCCCGCGCGCGGCGCGCGGCGCGAGAGACCCGUCGAACCUGAUCCAGACAAUGCUGGCGUAGGGAAGGUG